UUGACCUCAAAUCAGGUAGGACUACCCGCUGAACUUAAGCAUAUCAAUAAGCGGAGGAAAAGAAACUAACAAGGAUUCCCCUAGUAACUGCGAGUGAAGCGGGAAAAGCUCAAAUUUAAAAUCUGACGGUCUUUAUGGCCUUCCGAGUUGUAAUCUAGAGAAGUGCUAUCCGCGCUGGACCGUGUACAAGUCUCCUGGAACGGAGCGUCAUAGAGGGUGAGAAUCCCGUCUUUGCCACGGACUACCAGGGCUUAUGUGAUGCGCUCUCAAAGAGUCGAGUUGUUUGGGAAUGCAGCUCUAAAUGGGUGGUAAAUUCCAUCUAAAGCUAAAUAUUGGCGAGAGACCGAUAGCGAACAAGUACCGUGAGGGAAAGAUGAAAAGAACUUUGGAAAGAGAGUUAAACAGUACGUGAAAUUGUUGAAAGGGAAACGCUUGAAGUCAGUCGCGUUGACCAGGAAUCAGCCUUGCUUUUGCUUGGCGCACUUUCUGGUUAA
rnacentral:rRNA from 1 species